ensembl:lncRNA
AGGGAGAGGAUAGAUGGAGAGGAGAUGAUAGAGGGAGAGGAUAGAGGGAUAGAGGGAUAGGAGAUGAUAGAGUGAUAGGAGAUAGAGGGAGAGGAUAUAGGGAUUGACGGAUAGGAGAUGAUAGAGGGAUAGGAGAGGAUAGAGGGAGAGGAUAGAGGGAUAGAGGGAUAGGAGAUGAUAGAGGGAGAGGAUAGAGGGAUAGGAGAUGAUAGAGGGAGAGGAUAGGAGAUGAUAGAGGGAUAGGAGAUGAUAGAGGGAGAGGAUAGAGGGAUAGAGGGAUAGGAGAUGAUAGAGGGAGAGGAUAGAGGGAUAGGAGAUGAUAGAGGGAGAGGAUAGGAGAUGAUAGAGGGAGAGGAGAUGAUAGAGGGAUAUGAGAGGAUAGAGGGAGAGAAUAGUGGGGUAGGAGAUGAUAGAGGGAUAGGAGAUGACAGAGGGAGAGGAUUUAGGGAGAGGAGAUUGUAGAGGGAGAGGAUAGAGGGAUAGGAGAUGAUAGAGGGAGAGAAUAGUGGGAUGUGAGACAUGGACAAGGACAAUGUCAGGGACAGAAACACGUGGAUCAGUUGAAAGAAAUGUCUCAAACUAGACUGCUACCAAGGGACCAUCGUAAAAAUCUUCACCUCUCCUCUCUACCGCUCUUCACCUCUCCUUCUCCCCCUCUCUCUCCUUUCCUCCCCCGAUCCAUCUCCUAUCUUCCUUUGCCCCUGCUGUGGGGUAAUGUUUUGCUAAAUGUUUUAGUAUGAGUAUGGGGGACUGUGAGAACCCUAAAAUCACCCCUCUUCUCCUGGAUGUGUUCCCAGUGCUUUGAAAGAGGUCAAAGGUCAUACCUAACUGAUCCCGGACUAUGGUAGAAACCAGAAAAAAAGUAUGGUAGACACCAGGAGCCAGGAAGGGUAGACACCAGGAGUCAGGUAUGAUGACACCAGAAGCCAGGUAGGGGAGACACCAGGAGUCAGGUAUGAUGACACCAGAAGCCAGGUAUGAUGAAACCAGAAGCCAGGUAUGAUGACACCAGGAGCCAGGAAGGGUAAAAAAUAAGGGGCCAGGAAGGGUAGACACCAGGAGCCAGGAAGGGUAGACACCAGGAGUCAGGAAGGAUAGACACCAGGAGCCAGGAAGGGUGGACACCAGGAGCCAGGUAGGGUAGACACCAGGAGCCAGGUAGGGUAGACACCAGGAUCCAGGUAGGGUAGACACCAGAAGCCAGGUAUGGUAGACACCAGAAGCCAGGUAUGGUAGACACCAGAAGACAGGUAUUGUAGACACCAGAAGCCAGGUAUGGUAGACACCAGAAGCCAGGUAUGGUAGACACCAGAAGCCAGGUAUGGUAGACACCAGAAGACAGGUAGACACCAGAAGACAGGUAUGGUAGACACCAGAAGACAGGUAUGGUAUACACCAAAAGACAGAUAUGGUAGACACCAGAAGACAGGAAUGGUAGACACCAGAAGACAGGUAUUGUAGAUGGAGGCCUGAUCUAAUGAAAUGUCAUGGAGGCCUGAUCUAUAGAACUGACAUGGAGGCCCGAUCUAAUGAACUGACAUGGAGGCCUGAUCUAUAGAACUGACAUGGAGGCCUGAUCUAAUGAACUGACAUGGAGGCCUGAUCUAAUGAACUGACAUGGAGGCCUGAUCUAUAGAACUGACAUGGAGGCCUGAUCUAAUGAACUGACAUGGAGGCCUGAUCUAUAGAACUGACAUGGAGGCCUGAUCUAAUGAACUGACAUGGAGGCCUGAUCUAUAGAACUGACAUGGAGGCCUGAUCUAUAGAACUGACAUGGAGGCCUGAUCUAUAGAACUGACAUGGAGGCCCGAUCUAUAGAACUGACAUGGAGGCCUGAUCUAUAGAACUGACAUGGAGGCCUGCUCUAAUGUGCUGACAUGGAGGCCUGAUCUAAUGAACUGAUAUGGAGGCCUGAUCUAAUGAACUGACAUGGAGGCCUGAUCUAAUGAACUGUCAUGGAGGCCUGAUCUAAUGAACUGACAUGGAGGCCUGAUCUAAUGAACUGACAUGGAGGCCUGAUCUAUAGAACUGACAUGGAGGCCUGAUCUAAUGAACUGACAUGGAGGCCUGAUCUAAUGAACUGACAUGGAGGCAGAGACCUUUUCUUUUCAGAACUUCCCUCCAUUGAUCUGCCCCGUUGGCAGUGUAGUCUGGUACGUUGCCUCCCCUGCGCCGAGGUGGCGCCGUCGCCCACAAAAUCAAACAUGGCUGCCAGUGCUUGGUGUUGUCACUCUCAGUGGCAUUGAGCGGGUGCCAGCGGCGGGCAUUCCUUCACCGGAGUUAGCAUUCAGUCUGCAUAGGGCAAGUCAAGCAGGCUUUAGUGUCCCACCCAACCAGAGUCACCACUCUGUGGUGGGGGAUACAAAUGUGGCGAGUCAAUGAAAGUCUCUCUCUCUCACACACACACACACACACACUCAGACAGUCAGACACACACACACACACACUCUCACACACACACACACACACACACACAAUCACUUAGUUAGAAAGUACCAUUCAGGGACACAUCUAGUGAGUUAGACAGGGGCUUUCAAAGAAAUACAUUUAGAAAGAGUCACAUGGUUGCACAUCCACAGAAUGGAGGAACGUGCCCUCAUUCCCCAAUGGCAUGCCAACUUCUCUAUUAGUGUCUGAGCUUUUCCAUGUGAUUUGUGUUCACCAGAAUUAAAUGACAUCAUGUUCAUCACCAUCCGAUGACAUCAUGUUCACCACUAUCCGAUGACAUCAUGUUCACCACCAUCCGAUGACAUCAUGUUCACCACUAUCCGAUGACAUCAUGUUCACCACUAUCCGAUGACAUCAUGUUCACCACUAUCCGAUGACAUCAUGUUCACCACUAUCCGAUGACAUCAUGUUCACCACUAUCCGAUGACAUCAUGUUCACCACUAUCCGAUGACAUCAUGUUCACCACUAUCCGAUGACAUCAUGGUCAUUACCAUCCGAUGACAUCAUGUUCACCACUAUCCGAUGACAUCAUGUUCACCACUAUCCGAUGACAUCAUGGUCAUUACCAUCCGAUGACAUCAUGUUCACCACUAUCCGAUGACAUCAUGUUCACCACUAUCCGAUGACAUCAUGUUCACCACCAUCCGAUGACAUCAUGUUCACCACUAUCCGAUGAUAUCAUGUUCACCACUAUCCGAUGACGUCGUGUUCACCAUUAUCCGAUGACGUCGUGUUCACCAUUAUUCGAUGACGUCAUACCGACAUUAUAAGAUUGCAACUGUAAAAAAGUCAAACACCUGAGCUGAUGCACACCCCAAAAUGUGAUGCGGACUAACGGACAAUAAACUGCUGAAAAAAGAAAGAAAGCAACCACGAUGCGUUGGUUAUUAAGUUCAUCAAUUGGUUAUGAAGCAUGAACACGACCUUGUGCCGUUUCAGUGAGCUGUCAUUACAUGGAGAGUCAUCCAAUGUUUAAAAUGAAAUAUCGUUGGACUGUUCAUCCUAACAUUCACUAAAACAUUGUGCACAUGUUCUAAUAGCACAAAACUCUCCAUUUGUGGUGAUGAUUAUAGAAUAUUUAUAUAAAACCAUUUGCCCGAUGUUGCAAAUACAUUCCUGUAAUAUGUUUAAUCUGUUCUUUGAAAGUUCCCAGAAUGUUUCUUUAGUUGGGUUAACAUUGUGGGGUCAAGAAAGGAGAUAUAUAUUCACAAAACACAAAAUCUGUCCAGGUGUGUAGACAUUCAGAUAAUAUUUGUAUUAGGGUGAACAGAACGUUCCUUUGAUUCCUUACUCCCCUACUCCACCACUACCACAUAUCUACAACACACUGUGUGUCCUCAGGCCCCUACUCCACCACUACCACAUAUCUAUAACACACUGUGUGCCCUCUGGCCCCUCCUCCACCACUACCACAUAUCUACAACACACUGUGUGCCCUCUGGCCCCUCCUCCACCACUACCACAUAUCUACAACACACUGUGUGUCCUCAGGCCCCUCCUCCACUACUACCACAUAUCUACAACACACUGUGUGCCCUCAGGCCCCUCCUCCACUACUACCACAUAUCUACAACACACUGUGUGUCCUCAGGCCCCUCCUCCACCACUACCACAUAUCUACAACACACUGUGUGCCCUCAGGCCCCUCCUCCACCACUACCACAUAUCUACAACACACUGUGUGCUCUCAGGCCCCUCCUCCACCUAGAAAGCAGCAUGGAAUACAUCCCCAUUAUGUGAUAUAGUCGUUUUGAGCGAUUAAACAAAAUGUGGUUUAUUAUUAUUAUUAUUUUUUUUAUUAAUUAAAGAACUAACGGAUCAACAUCGGUUUAAUUAUUUAAAUUCCAUUUCGUUCUGUUUUUUUCCUCCUGUGAUCUCAAUGUGCACAUUGCACGGUUUCUUUAAAGAUGAAGCAGAUCAAGCCCGAACUGAGAGAUGUAGUAAGGAGUUGCAGUUUCCAACAGGCCAAAAUUCUACAUAGUUUAUCAGAUGUAGUAGGGAGUUGUAGUUUCCAACAGGCCAGCAUUCUACAUAGUUUAUCAGAUGUAGUAGGGAGUUGUAGUUUCCAACAGGCCA